rnacentral:ncRNA from 20 species
AAAUAUAAUAGAAUCUAUGGUUCAUUUAGUUGAUUAAAAGGGAAGCAGGUUAAAUUCCUGCACGGUCCCGCCACUGUAAGACAGAUGAAAGCAGGUUGCCACUGGCUGUAGCUGGGAAGGUUGUGAGUAAAAUGAAGUCAAGUCAGGAGAACUGCCAGAGAUUUAGUUAUUCUA